GACGAACGCUGGCGGCGUGCCUAAUACAUGCAAGUCGAACGCAGUGGGGACGGGUGAGUAACACGUGGGUAACCUCCCAUCAGAGGGGAUAACACUUGGAAACAGGUGCUAAACCGAUACUGAUGGAUGGACACGCGGUGCAUUAGCUAGUUGGUGGGGUAACGGCUAACCAGGGCCACGAUGCAUAGCGGACCUGGGAGGGGGAGCGGCACCACUGGGACUGAGACACGGCCCAGACUCCUACGGGGGGCAGCGGUGGGGAAUCUUCGGCAAUGGACGAAAGUCUGACCGAGCAACGCCGCGUGAGUGAGAAAGGUUUUCGGAUCGUAAAACUCUGUUGUUAGAGAAGCGGUAUCUAACCAGAAGGCCACGGCUAACUACGUGCCAGCAGCCGCGGUAAAC
rnacentral:rRNA from 1 species